rnacentral:rRNA from 1 species
UACAGAGGGUGCGAGCGUUGUCCGGAAUCACUGGGCGUAAAGGGCGCGUAGGUGGCGCCGCAAGUCCAUGGUGAAAGCUCGAUGCUCAACAUCGAGUCGGCCACGGAGACUGCGAGGCUCGAGUACUGUAGGGGCAGAUGGAAUUCCGGGUGUAGCGGUGGAAUGCGUAGAGAUCCGGAAGAACACCGGUGGCGAAGGCGGGUCUCUGGGCCGAAACUGACGCUGAGGAGCGAAAGCGUGGGGAGCAAACAGG